CGGAAGGUGUGCUCCCACUCCUCGGUGACGUCCAGGAGCGCGCGGUCGCCGAAGAACCGGCCGUCCGCGAGAACGUCGAUCCGGGAGUCGGCGUCGUACUCCCCCGGCCCGGCCUGCUCGACCUUGCCGUGCGCGAUGAGGUGGACCGCGUCCAUGGGACGUCCCGCGACCGCGAUCGCCUCGCCGGGGACGUACUCGCGCUGCGCGAACCGGGCGGCGAGGGCGUCCAGGACCGCGGGGUCGGGCAGGCCGCGCAGCGGCGGCAGCUCGGCGAGCUCGGGCGGGACGACCCUGACCUCGGCGCCGUCGUUGACGAACGUCACCAGGCCGUCGCCGAGCCGGUAGGUGAGCCGGCGGUUCACCCGGUAGACGCCGGCGUCCGCCCGCACCCACGGCAGCAGCGCCAUCAGCCACCGCGGGGUGAUGCCCCGCAUCUGCGGGACGGACUUCGUCGUCGUCGCGAGGUUGCGCGCGGCCUGCGUGCUGAGG
rnacentral:antisense_RNA from 1 species